UUAAGUAGGCAAACACAUCACAGGGUUUUUGCUUUUUUAAUCCAGUAGCUUUUGGAAACCGAAGUUUUUUUAGCAUGAGGCAUUUGGUUAUUUCUCUGUUUUUCUGCCUUGUCAGCUACGCCGCGGCUGCAGAAUACUAUAGCUACAGCCCGCCCAUUUACGCUGUGAAUCCGGUUAAUUAUGCCAUUACUGAACCAAUUACCUAUGUUAAAAGGUAUUCCACUCCAAUUUCCUAUGUGGCACCUGCACCUACUGUUACAACCACUACUUACAUUCAAAAAGUUCCAGCUCCUAUAGCCUACACUUACGCAAAUCCUUUAACUUACAGCUAUCCUCUUAGUUAUUACAAGAAAUAAUCAGCUUUGUGUAUCAGACGUUUAACUUCUUGAAAAUAUUUGUUGAAAACACUGGUGUCGCUCAACAUGUUGAUUCUAAUCAAUUUAAGAUGUUUUGAAAAGUUACGGAAAGACUCUUUGGCUGUUUAAUCUUUUAAUUAUUACUAUUGAAAAACAUGUUUGUGUAGUAUGUAUGGUCUCUGAAUUAAAACUGUACUCUGUUGAUUUCGAA